rnacentral:tRNA from 1 species
GGGGCCGUAGCUCAACUGGGAGAGCGCCUGGUUCGCAAUCAGGAGGUUGUGGGUUCAAGUCCCAUCGGCUCCACCA